GAUGAACGCUGGCGGCGUGCCUAAUACAUGCAAGUCGAGCGAACGGACGAGAAGCUUGCUUCUCUGAUGUUAGCGGCGGACGGGUGAGUAACACGUGGAUAACCUACCUAUAAGACUGGGAUAACUUCGGGAAACCGGAGCUAAUACCGGAUGAUAUUUUGAACCGCAUGGUUCAAAAGUGAAAGACGGUCUUGCUGUCACUUAUAGAUUGAUCCGCGCUGCAUUAGCUAGUUGGUAAGGUAACGGCUUACCAAGGCAACGAUGCAUAGCCGACCUGAGAGGGUGAACGGCCACACUGGAACGGAGACACGGUCCAGACUCCUACGGGAGGCAGCAGUAGGGAAUCUUCCGCAAUGGGCGAAAGCCUGACGGAGCAACGCCGCGUGAGUGAUGAAGGUCUUCGGAUCGUAAAACUCUGUUAUUAGGGAAGAACAUAUGUGUAAGUAACUGUGCACAUCUUGACGGUACCUAAUCAGAAAGCCACGGCUAACUACGUG
rnacentral:rRNA from 1 species